GGUCCGUUCGUCUAGGGGUUAGGACAUCAGAUUUUCAUUCUGGUAACACGGGUUCGAUUCCCGUACGGACUACAA
rnacentral:tRNA from 1 species